GACAGAGGGUGCAAACGUUGUUCGGAAUUACUGGGCGUAAAGCGCGUGUAGGCGGCUUUGCAAGUCGGGUGUGAAAUCCCCAGGCUUAACCUGGGAACUGCAUUCGAGACUGCAUUGCUAGAGUAUGGGAGAGGGAAGUGGAAUUUCCGGUGUAGCGGUGAAAUGCGUAGAUAUCGGAAGGAACAUCAGUGGCGAAAGCGACUUCCUGGACCAAUACUGACGCUCAUGUGCGAAAGCGUGGGGAGCAAACAGG
rnacentral:rRNA from 1 species